GGGUGGUGGCGUGGAGGAGCAUUGACCUGGCUGGAUGUGAGACAGAGGAAAGGAGGAAGGGUCGUCCCGCUCAACACCCAAAAUCUAUUCGGCUCAGCACCCGGGUACAACAAAUCACCCGUGUAAGAGGAGGAGAGAGAGGAAGAAGCCGAGACAGGUGGAGGAGACGUGCACGACGCGAGACAGAGACACAGACAGACCGACACGAAGCCCAAAACACCCUGAACCUUUAUAAGACAAUUGGGAAAGUGACACCGGGGAGGUUUUUGCCUCGACCAGACUUUUUCUCCUCGCUUUUUAUAAUGUCGGUGAAUAGCGAGGCACAAAACAUAGCAGGAAAGAGAAGCGAGCGAGCGAGUGAGUGAGGGAUCUGCGAAGGUGAAAGGGUGAGAAGGGGAAAUGUGGGUGAGGUGGCGGUGAUGAUGAUGAUGAUAGUGGUGGUGGUGGUGGUGAUAAUGAUGAUGGGGGAGGUGGAGACGGGGGGGCGCCGUACCUCUAUUAGCCAGGUAGUUUGAUGAAGAAGGGAUGAAGAUGAAGAGGAGGAGGACCCAAUACAGAGCCUUGGUUAGAUAAGGAGUGAAGGGCCAGGGUGGUGAUGGUGGUUGUACUGGUGGAGUGGAGGCGUAGUAAGGAGGAAGAAGGGUUGUUGUAGGGCUAUUAAGGUCGCUGUGAUUGUGGUGGUCGCUGUGGUGAUGAUGGUGGUGAGGACGGACUUAAGCCGGAAGAGGAAGAGACAGUAGUGGUGGUGAUGGUGGUGGUUGUGGCGGCGUGAUGGUGAAGGUUGUGGUGUUGCUGAUGAAGAUUGUUGUGUCGUAGUAGUGAUGAUUGGGGGAGGGUGGGGGAGAUGAGGAGAGGGUCGAGAAUAGAGAGGGAGGGAGGGAGGAAAGGGAAGUGGAUGAUUCUAGGAAAUAAGACAACGAGGAGUGAAGGGCUGUUUAGGAGAGAGGGAGGGGGGGGGGUGCGUCUGGAGUCCUGCUGAGGAAAUUACCGGAAAUACGAACACGCGGAAGAUGCAACAUGAAAUUUCCGCGCAAAAGAGAAAGAAAAAAAAAGUCGAGGAAAUUGUCGGAAAUAAAGUUAAUUUCUGGAGCCGGACGAUUUAUGAAAGCAAUACUGAGGGAGACGUGGAGCGCUGAGGAAGAGACGAGGCGUGGCAGAACAAAGGAGGAGGAGGAGGAGGUGAAGGGGGGAAAAGAGGGGAGAGAGAGAGAGAGAUAGAGAAAGAGAGAAAGAAAGAAGAAAUGAGACAGCACAGUGAGAAGGGAAUCGGAUCCUUUCUCUCAGCGGUGUGGUUUCUUCAGCAGCAGCAGUCGUCGCCACAGCUGGAGGAGGCUGUGUCACGCUCUGGAGAAGGGGGGAGGGGUGGCUAUAAGGGGGGCAUAGAUUGGAGGGAGGGGGUUGAGGAUGAGAGGAAAGGAGUAUAGGGACGAGGAAGGGGACUGUCAAAGGGGGAAUAAGGGCGAUUGAGGCUCUGUGGGGAGGAGAAGGAAGGGAGAUCUGAGGGGAUUAGGAAAGUGUUUGAGGAGAGGAGGAUUGAGGCUGUGUGGUGAGGGAGAGGAAGUGGCUGAGGAUGGGAAGAGGGGGGAUGAAGCUCGUUGGGGGGAGGAGGAGGAGGAGGAGUAAGAAGAGGAGGAAGGAGGUAUGACGCUUACUCAUUGUAAUUCAUCCUGAUUUAUUGAAGGAGGAGGGGGUGGGGAAGGGGUGCUUGGUGUGUCAACUGGGGCACCUGCCUAACACGUCCCCUCUCUCUCUCUCUCUCUCUCUCUCUCUCUCUCUCUCUCUUCAUCACUUUCUCCCUGUUUUAAAUUCCAUGAUCAGCCUCCACUUUCUCCUUUACUCUCUCUCCUCCCUCCCUCGUAUUCUCUCGUCCCCCUCCUUCCUCCUCCCUCUCUUCUCCUCCUCGCUCGUUGGCAGGACGCGAGGUAUAAUCAGCUCCACCUUGAUAGUUUUAUCCUUGCCGCUAGGGGUCCUUAGCUUCGUCUAUUUUCAGAUUUUCUCUCGUUUUAUUUACCUCUCACGGUCUUCAAGUCACUUUCGCUUUCUGGCACGGCUUCCCUCUACCUGCGAUUGUGUGUGUGUGUGUGUGUUCGAUACUUCCUUGUCUUUUAUUCCUUCAUGCGUCCCUCCCGUCUUUCUUUUCUCCGUUCCUUUUUUCCUCUCUUUUGUUACUGUCCUUUCAUAACCUGACACAGUGGCCUUCAUGUUAGCUUUUCCUCUUACGUCUUUUGAUCUCCUAAGAUGAAAUCGAUUCCGCCGCGACACACUGACCUGUUUUACUUGGCGUCGCUCACUGUGUUGCGUGGCGCUCGCUUCCCGUGCUUGGGUACAGAAGUGGAGGGGAAGGAGGGAGGAGGAGAGGGAAGCAAGGAAGUGAGGAGGGAAAGCUGGGAAGGAAGGGAGGUGUGUGUGUGUGUGUGUGCAUAUUGAAUUUGUCCUUGACUUGGCUUCAUUGUUGGAAGUCGAGCAGCGUGUUAAUGACUCAGCCGGUGGGAAGGUUACUCAGCGGCGAGGGACACUUCUCACAUCACUUUAUACCGAGGACCAGAUUUGUCCGUGGGAAGGGAAGGGAGGGAAAUAACUAGGUUUGUGUAGGGGGAACAUCGAGGCAGGUUCCAAAGGGUAGGGAUGAGAAGCGUGUACGUAGUAGUUGUUACAAGCAAGGAAAGCAACGUUGCCAGAUUGUCGUACUCAGCCUCCUAUGUUUGCCGAUUUCCGACCCCAAAACUGCCUCCUCGACCCCAAUAACUGCCUCCACAUAUACUCAUCAUUAAAACGGUUAAUUAUCUGUGCUUCUCGUCAAUAUCCAUGUCUCAGAAACCGGUAAAUACGCGGCUCUGAGUACAAUAAUCUGGCAACUGAGAAGGAAAGUAGUAGGUUCGGGUUCGUGCGAGUCGGUGGAAGGAAGGGGGUGCUGGUGCAGGAAACGCGGCGUGUGGGAGUAGCCUUCAUGAGAUGCUCUGUUGUAAGGGAAGGACACGGCGCGACAGACAGACACAGGUUUAUCCCACGCAAGUACACAAGUCUUUGUUUACUGUUGCGUCACGCCCCAUUACGUCUGCUGGCCUGGCGUCGUCUCGUGUGUGUGUGUCUGUGUGGUGUUGCUUGGCUGUUGUGGGCAAGGACACAUACGACCACAUAGUGACUCAGACGUGGGCCAGACUGUGAGGCAGUGCCCUGCCAUCCUCCCUCUUCCUCCUCCCCCUCCUCCCAACCAGGCUGAUGCACCUCACAACGACACGAGCCCCAAUAUAGUAGCAUUGCGUCACGAUCACUUAAGUCCAUUGUAUUGGCUUUGAUAUUGGCGUGAGGUUGUAUGUUCCAUUAGUAAACUGGGACUGGCUGUAUUGGGUUAGGCAGGGUCGCCGGGGAGCGGGAUGAGGCAGGGCUGCGGCAGGGGGUCACUGAGUGCGGCCUCUGUCUGCUCCAGUCUUCCCCCGCCCCAUCUCUGCCUCGGUCCCUGCCGCCACGCCUCUCUGCUGGGACGAGGCGUGGCACAUCGCGACGCCCCCGUACUGUCUGUCCUGGCGGGAGUGUGGGCACCUGCGGCACCUCCUGUGGCCUUGUCGAUCAUCCUUGCUGAGAGAGAGAGAGAGAGAGAGAGAGAGAGAGAGAGAGAGAGAGGCGCACAAUAUCUGUAAGCCUCUCACUGGACUCUCCUCUGCCAUUCACUCGCUCCUACAUCGACUGGCUGAAGGAGGAGGAGGACAGUAAAGUGAGGAGGAGGAGGAGGAAGAGGAGGAAGGAUGGCCCCGCGGUUAGGAAGGGAAGGGGGAGAGAGGGGCGGGGGGGGUGGCGGGGUACAUGGGCGGAAGGAGAGAAAGUUUGCGCGCGCAGGUUACUGAAGCUUCACCUUUAUAUUGGACCCUCUUCCUCUGUUUACUCUCCUCCUCCUCCUCCCCGUCUUCCUCCUCCUCCGUUUUUCAAGUAGUUUCUUAACUUUCCUACUUUCCUAUACGUCUUCGACCGUGCCCUUUUGCCCCUCUCCACUUCCUUAGUUGUCUUCUACUCCUCACCACCUCCUGUUCCUCCUCCUCCUCCACCUCACCACCUCCUGUUCCUCCUCCUCCUCCACCUCACCACCUCCUGUUCCUCUUCCCCCUCAUUCUCAUCCUCUGACUUUACUGAUUGGCAUCGCUCACUGUAGCUAAAUGGCCUACUUAUUGUGUGUGUGUGUGUGUGUGUGUGUGUGUGUGUGUGUGUGUGUGUGUGUGUGUGUGUGUGUGUAAUCCUCAGAGAGCUGUAUCGGGUGUGGCCUGGGCUGGCUCGGGGGAGGAGGAGGAGGAGGAGGAAAGGAGAAGGGGAUGUGAAGAGAGGUAGAGUAAGAAAGACGGAGAUGGGAAGGUGGGGCAGGUCGGGAGGAAGAUGCCGAAUGUAUAUUGGAAAGGAGGGAUGUGGCCGCCGCGUCUGGGUUGAUAGAAAUUCGUCCACCAUUGGGAUGCCGCGGCCCGCCCUGUCUGGCCCUGACUGUUGUAUUACCCAGUGGUAUCCAUUACAGUGCAGGGUCCGCGGCUUUCCUUGUAUCGUUUCGUCAGUAGGAAAAAGCCUGGCUAUACGUUCAGUCCACCAUUGUGUCUAGAUUUCGAUGUAUAUUCUUUCUUAGAUGAAUUUGUCCGUUAAGAACACAGGACGAGAAAUUAGUUGUGUAUUAAAGUGUGCUAAAGAAUAUGCUCUCUGAUUUGGAUUCUCGAAGGGUACAUGAAAGACGAAUAAAUGAAAAAGUAAGCCACUAAUUAAUACCUCUAUAGGUAUGACAUUAGGGACACUAGGUAAAAGACAUACAGUCAAGGCAGAAGGCAAAAAGCGAGGAAAGAGGAAUUGCUAAGGGUUUGACAGUCUCUUUCCUGUGUGCGAGGCGCCAGAUAAAAAGUCGUAUGGACAAAGGAGAGCAGUGUGGAGGGAGACAAUAGAGGGUCCAUUUGUAACAGUCGGCAGAUUAAGGAAAAGAUGUGAAGGCGCCAUUAGCUUAUCAGCGGUGAUUGGCGCCGUGACUCAAAAGACAGACGGCGAGAGUGAAUUUGCUUGAUGAGAGGAACGUGUGAUGGCCGUUGAGGAGAGUGUGAGAACAAAAAAAGGGACAGUAUUCUUACGUAAACACGGCAUCAAUCCAUACAGUAUCGUUGUGGGUUUGCACUGAGAAUUGGAGAAAAAAGAUUAACAAAGAAAUGGUAUGAAAAGUGUACAGAACAGAAUAGCAAAGGAAACAUCUACAAAAUAUCUCUACAAAACGCGUGAAGAGAACAGAAGAUAAAAGGAAGCGCUCUCACACAUACUGGCCAGGUGUUGUGAUGGUGUGGUGGUGGUGGUGGUGGGUGAAGGGACGCGGUGGUGGUGGUGGUGGUGGAUAGCUUGAAUAUCUUGAAUGUGGACGUCCAUUUGAGAGAGAGAGAGAGAGAGAGAGAGAGAGAGAGAGAGAGAGAGAGAGAGAGAGAGAGAGAGAA